AGACUUCAAAUAAGGAAUUUCUGCCCUAUAUUAGAAGGGUCGGCGGGUUUUCCCGUCUGACUAUGGUGAUAAACGGAUUGUGCAAUAAACCAUUCGGACCCGGGGGCAGUACCCGGCGCCUCCACCAGUUUUCUCCUGUCGCGGCAGGCAUUCCUGGGGGCGAAACAGGAUCGACGAGGGUGUAAAGACAGUCUUUUUGCCCGGCAUGGUUCCGCCGAUAUCGGGCCGUUUUAUAGUUGCCAACGACAACUAUGCUGAGGUUGCCGUCGCUGCGUAAGCAGUGCCUGCACUUCGAUUUAAGUCCUUGCCCUUAGCCGGGUAAGGCGGGGUUCGGGGGCACCUGGCAACAGAAGCCCCCACU
rnacentral:tmRNA from 1 species